rnacentral:tRNA from 1 species
CAGGAAAUAGUUUAUAAAAAAUAUUAAUUUUGGAGAUUAAUGAUAGAGAAUCCCUUUUUUCCUGA